UACGUAGGGGCCAAGCGUUGUCCGGAAUCAUUGGGCGUAAAGAGCGUGUAGGCGGCUUGUUAAGUCUUGCGUGAAAUCUCGGGGCUCAACCCCGAGCGGUCGUGAGAAACUGGCAGGCUAGAGUGCGGGAGAGGAGAGUGGAAUUCCUGGUGUAGUGGUGAAAUGCGCAGAUAUCAGGAGGAACACCGGUGGCGAAGGCGGGUCUCUGGGCAACAACUGACGCUGAGGAGCGAAAGCGUGGGGAGCGAACAGG
rnacentral:rRNA from 1 species